rnacentral:lncRNA from 1 species
GCCCUUUAAUUGGAAUAAAAAUAUCUUAUCUUAUCUUAUCUUGCACUAUGAAAUGAGGUUUUGGUCAGAUGAAAAUUUCGAUACAGACAUAGUGUAUAAAUCAUACAAUAAUUCCAUACACCAAAUGAGACUUAUUGCUUAUAGUACUAAAAAAAAAACAGACCAAAAAAACAAAAACUUACCAUUGAGCAAUGGACCAUAAAAGACACACCCCCUUU